UUUUAAGUUUCAUUCAUUUUUACUGUUAAAAAUUAGUGUGGUUGAUAUAUAACUAGACAGUUACAAGCAGCUUACCAUGUGUAUGUCAUUUUAAUCUAUAAAAACUAUAUUUUUAAUAGUAAAAAUAAAUGAAAUAUUUAAUA
rfam:Gossypium hirsutum cultivar TM-1 chromosome 23, whole genome shotgun sequence